GAUGAACGCUAGCGGCAGGCCUAACACAUGCAAGUCGAGGGAGAGGUUAUCUUCGGGUAACCAAAACCGGCGCACGGGUGCGUAACGCGUAUACAAUCUGCCUUUCACAUAGGGAUAGCCCGAAGAAAUUUGGAUUAAUACCUAAUGGUAUAUAAGAGCGGCAUCGUUUUUAUAUUAAAGCUACGGUGGUGAAAGAUGAGUAUGCGUUCUAUUAGCUAGUUGGAGAGGUAACGGCUCCCCAAGGCGACGAUAGAUAGGGGUUCUGAGAGGGAUGUCCCCCACACUGGUACUGAGAUACGGACCAGACUCCUACGGGAGGCAGCAGUGAGGAAUAUUGGACAAUGGUCGGAAGACUGAUCCAGCCAUGCCGCGUGCAGGAUGAAGGUCCUAUGGAUUGUAAACUGCUUUUGUAAGGGAAGAAUAAGGAGUACGUGUACUUUGAUGACGGUACCUUACGAAUAAGCAUCGGCUAACUCCGUGCCAGCAGCCGCGGUAAUACGGAGGAUGCGAGCGUUAUCCGGAAUCAUUGGGUUUAAAGGGUCCGUAGGCGGGCUGAUAAGUCAGAGGUGAAAGCGCUUAGCUCAACUAAGCAACUGCCUUUGAAACUGUCAGUCUUGAAUGAUUGUGAAGUAGUUGGAAUGUGUAGUGUAGCGGUGAAAUGCUUAGAUAUUACACAGAACACCGAUAGCGAAGGCAUAUUACUAACAACUUAUUGACGCUGGUGGACGAAAGCGUGGGGAGCGAACAGG
rnacentral:rRNA from 1 species